rnacentral:rRNA from 1 species
GACAGGGGUCUCGAGCGUUAAUCGGAAUUACUGGGCGUAAAGCGUGCGCAGGCGGUUUUGUAAGUCUGUUGUGAAAUCCCCGGGCUCAACCUGGGAAUGGCAAUGGAGACUGCAAGGCUAGAGUUUGGCAGAGGGGGGUAGAAUUCCACGUGUAGCAGUGAAAUGCGUAGAUAUCAGGAGGAACACCGGUGGCGAAGGCGGCUGCCUGGACUGAUACUGACGCUGAGACACGAAAGCGUGGGGAGCAAACAGG